UUCGCAAUGCCCGAAAGGGUGAACGGGCGACGCCGCGUGCGGGAUGAAGGGCUUCGGCUUGUAAACCGCUUUUCUUCGGGAAGAAGGUCCGGGUCGUGAACCUGGGCUUGACGGUACCGGAGGAAUAAGCCACGGCUAACUUCGUGCCAGCAGCCGCGGUAAGACGAAGGUGGCGAGCGUUGUUCGGAAUCACUGGGCAUAAAGCGCACGUAGGCGGCGACGUAAGUUGGGUGUGAAAUCCCCCGGCCCAACCGGGGAACUGCGCCCAGUACUGCGUUGCUUGAGGAUCCAAGGGGUGCAUGGAAUUCCCGGUGGAGCGGUGAAAUGCGUUGAUAUCGGGAGGAACUCCGGCGGCGAAAGCGGUGCACUGGUGGAUUACUGACGCUGAGGUGCGAAAGCCAGGGGAGCAAACGGGAUUAGAUACCCCGGUAGUCCUGGCCGUAAACGAUGGGCACUAAGUAGAGGGGUUUU
rnacentral:rRNA from 1 species